rfam:Oryza rufipogon genomic scaffold, chr04
UUUAAGUGCAACCAUAAAUUUCCGCGUCUAACUUUGAUCAUCCGUCUUAUUUGAAAAUUUUUUAUAAUUAAUAUUUUUGUUGUUGUUAUGUGAUGAUAAAACAUGAAUAGCACUUUACCCGUGACUUAUGUUUUUAAUUUUUUUUAAAUAAGACGGACCGUUAAAAUUGGGCGCGGAAAAUCAUGGCUACACUUAAA